GCUUCCGGCCCACACCUCCCUGAGCACGCCCGAUCUCGUCUGAUCUCGGAGCUAAGCAGGGUCGGGCCCGGUUAGUAGUUGGAUGGGAGACCGCCUGGGAAUACCAGGUGCUGUAAGCC
rnacentral:rRNA from 1 species